UACAGAGGGUGCGAGCGUUGUUCGGAAUUACUGGGCGUAAAGCGCGCGCAGGCGGCUUUUUAAGUCCAUCGGUGAAAUGCCGGGGCUCAACCCCGUGCCUGCCGAGGAUACUGGAAGGCUGGAGACACGUAGAGGCAAGCGGAAUUCCGGGUGUAGCGGUGGAAUGCGUAGAGAUCCGGAAGAACACCGGAGGCGAAGGCGGCUUGCUGGGCGUAGUCUGACGCUGAGGCGCGAAAGCGUGGGGAGCAAACAGG
rnacentral:rRNA from 1 species